CGUGAAAUUGUUGAAAGGGAAGCGCUUGUGACCAGACGUGCGCCGGGGUGUUCAGCGGGCGUUCUCGCCCGUGCACUCGCCUCGGUGCAGGCCAGCGUCGGUUUGGGUGGGGGGAUAAAGGCGUCUGGAAUGUGGCUCCUCCGGGAGUGUUAUAGCCAGAUGUGCCAUGCCUCCGCCUGGACCGAGGUACGCGUUCUGCAAGGACGCUGGCGUAAUGGUCUCCAGCGACCCGUCUUGAAACACGG
rnacentral:rRNA from 1 species